CAUCGAUUUCAAAAUUUGUUAAAAUUACAAAUAGUAAUUAUAUAUGGAAACUAUUUAUGUAUAUACAUAUAGGAUAGAAAUAAUUGUCAAUCUUUUUAAUUUAGCUUCUAAUAUUUAUAUAGAGAUCAGUUCAACAAGAGCUGCAACUUUUGAGACACUCUGUAUGCGUGUAUACACGCAUUUAUUUCAUCUCUCUCUUUCUUUGUAUCACACUUCACGUUCUAUCGAAAGAUUAUUCCAUAUAUAUGCUUUGUAGUUGCAUCUGUUAUAUUUGGCAUUAUUUUAGAACUAAAUGUAAAAUUGUUUGUAUAAAAUAAAUAAAACAAAAAUAAAAAAUUACAAUAUAAAAAUUACAUGCGGUACCAGUAUAAGAAAAUUAGAUAAUUACAAUCGACACUAAUCCUACAACGUGAAAUUAGUACCACGCGAUUGAAAUGGCGUUUGUUUCGAGUUACAGGCGGCAAAUUCAAAAGAUUGAAUGUUGUUAAGGCUACGUUCCAAAACGCAUCCACCGAAGAAAAUUUUACUCGAUGGCUCUUGAAACUUUUUUGAGCAUUUCUGAUUGGUUCAAUCAAGUAAAAUUUUUCUUGGAGAAAAUUUUACACCACUUUGAAAUCUAAGCCUGAGACGGGAAACGUGAAAUCGAUUUUCAAUCAGUUGGAAAAAAAAAGAACAAUCGCAUUAUCAUUGCAAGCAAUCAGAAUUUAUAACAAAAUGUUACAAAUUUGCAACUCUAUUAGCAUAAAUAUGGCUCAAUUAAUUUUUCUCGAAAUCUUUUUUUUUUCCCCUCUUGCGCGGGGUUAAAUAGGAUCGUUUGGAAAGUAAUUUCGUUUCUUCUUUCUAAAUAAAAAAAAAAAAAAAUUAAAAACGAAAUUACUUUCCGAAUGACCUAUUAGUAUAUAUUUUUGUACUUACUUCUUUUGUUUUUUCCUACAAAUGCGAAGAGAAGAGAAAGUAUGCACCUUACCUAGGGUAAUCAUUUUAUUACCCAAUUGUAUUAAUCGAAUUCACACAAGAUAUCCGAUCAUCGUCACAAUUUAUUAUUGUAAAUGUUAUUUACACAUGUACCUAAGCUUCAAACAGUUUCAUAAAGUUUUCCUGUUUUUCUCUUUUGUUUCUGUCUCUAUGAUGGACAAGAGGUGAAUGGUUCGGCUGCGAUUAUUUUCUUCAAUUGUAUAACAAAUAUAUAGUAAAUAAUUAAUAUUAGUUCGUAAUUAAGAAUAUGAGAACGCACAAAUAUAACAUAAUAAUAUGAUUAAACUCAUUCGUUCUGUCUUCCCUCCCGGCGCGCCACGUUCCUCACUUCUUUCGAUUUAUCGUAAACUACAUAUAUGUAUACAUAUAUGCAUAUAUGUAUGUAUACCUAAAACACUGUAUCAAUAUAUAUUCGAGAUAUUUCACUUAAGUGUAACAUUUCUCAUAGAUCGACUUCAGUUUCGAAAGGGAAGUCUCUCUCUCUCUCUCUCUUUUUCUAUGUAUACAUAUAUAUAUAAAGUCAAACUUAGUAUGUCCUAGAGAUGAUUUUUUUUUAGUACGAUGCGUUUAUUUAAAUAGAAAUAUACCCUUCCUGUUUAAAGUUUCUUACAUCUUACAUAUGACAAGUGAUAAAACCUGCCGGUUACGAGAGGAAGGAUUGCUCUUCUUUUCCAAAUAUCGUAUAAAACUUAUAAAACAGAAAGUGCGUUUAAAAUUUACGCCUAAAAAGAGAUAUUAUACAGGUUCGCGCGUGUAUCGAUGCUACAUCCAGCCUCCCUUAGGCCUUUAACGCGACAUCGAAAUCGAUAUCGCAACCCGCAUUCCUACUUUCUGUGUACAGCAAAAUUUUUUUUUUUUUUGGUAAAUGUCUUUAAUUUGGAUUUAAAGAGAUUGAAACUGUUAUUUGAAAUAGAUGCUAUUCUUCAAACAUGCUUGCUGGUCCGUUUAAACUCUCUCUCUUUCUCUUUAAACUCUUUUUCAAUCUUCUUCUUUAUAUUCUUCCAGUGAUCUUCAGUUGAGUUCAAGCUUAUUAAUAAGUUCAUGGAAGAGAACUUAUGUUUCCUUCUUCACAAAUCAAUUAUCCGUUGGCCAGUGUCUCGAACUAGUUACAGAAAAAUGGCUUCCCACAUCUUUUCAUGGCUUGAAUGCCACUUGUUACAUGUUCCAUAUUGGCAUAUAUUCAUACACAUGCAAAAAUGCAUAUGUAUAAAAAAAAAAAAAGAUAA